UCGCGGCGAUGGGGGCGGUUGCCGCCCGUGACGUCGCAAGAAGUCCACCGAACCUUAUCAUUUAGAUGAAGGAGAAGUCGUAACAAGGUUUCCGUAGGUGAACCUGCGGAGGGAUCAUUGUCGAGGCCCGGACGGAUGAACACGAACUCGUAGAGCCCCCGUGGGGGGCGGCACCUGCCGCCGCUGCCUCCUCCUCCGCGGGUGCCCCUACUGCCAUCACCCCGCAUGCCGUGCGGGACGAGCGGCAGGAACAAUUUCCUGUGCGGUGCGCGCCAAGGAGCAGCUCUGUUCGGAUGGCGCGGCGCGCAGUGAGCACAGCAUCGUUGCGUGCAGCGCGAUCCUGGGACGUCUAACUUUGUAUGACUCUCGGCGAUGGAUAUCUUGGCUCUCGCGUCGAUGAAGAACGUAGCGAAACGCGAUACUUGGUGUGAAUUGCAGAAUCCCGUGAACCAUCGAGUCUUUGAACGCAAGUUGCGUCUGAGGCUAUCUGGCCAAGGGCAUGCCUGCCUGGGCAUCACGCCUGCCGACGCUCACUGCCUCCUGCCCCGUCCCCCACCAUCAUGCAGUUCGGCGGCAUGCGCUGAUGCGGAGAGUGCCCCCCCGCGCAUCGCUGCGUGGCGGGCCGAAAUGCGGGUCGCCGGCCAGGCCGGACGCGGCAAGUGGUGGAUUGACACGCGCGCUGUCACUGAAGUGACCUGGCUCAGGCGACGCACAGGUGGAACCCACGCCAAAAGGUGCCACGCGAAUGCUCCCCGAAAACAGACCCCAUGUCAAACGGGGGCACCUGCUGAGUUUAAGCAUAUCAAUAAGCGGAGGAGAAGAAACUUACGAGGAUUCCCUUAGUAACGGCGAGCGA
rnacentral:rRNA from 1 species